UCCAAAUUCCCUGAAACAGAGUGAGUGCACAGACAGAGGAAGGCCAGGAGCGUAAUGCUCAUAAACUCCAGCCACCGGGAAAGAAACUUCAGGAGUGAGGAGUGAAGUCCAUACUUCCCAGCGGUGAGGACUCUGUAGUUCGUUUCUGACCCACAAGCACUCGCAGGUGCGUUUGAGCCCCGUCUGUUCUUUGCGGAGAUUGAUCUGGCUCCAGUGGGGGGUCAAUAAUAGUGGCUAUUAUUUAUUGACCUCUCACUUUGCCAGGUGUCUUACACAUAUUACUUCUAAUGUUUUGAGGGAAGCUUUACUGUACCCAUUUUGCAGCUGAGAACAUUAAGUCUCAGAGGAUUAAGCCAGGUCUCCAGCCAAUGAGUGGCAAAGUCAGGAUUCAACCCCACAUCUAUAUGGCUCCAACUUCUGCGUCCUUCCUGUGUCCCCUCCAGGAAGGAGCCAGAGAUUUGGGAAGUACAGCAAAUCCUAUCCUCCCCUUAAAUUCAGGUAUUCUGACUCAAAAGCUGAGGCAUCCUUGCCCUCUUACUCCCCGGCCUGCAUCACAAACUCUAAGGAAUAAACUCUGGGACGGAGAUUUGACUCUCGGGUGUGGUGUAAUUUAGGGAUGCCUGCCACAGCAUGGUUUGACAAGCGGUGCCAUGUCUGCACCCAGGAUCCGAACCAGUGAACCCUGGGCUGCUGAAGUGGAAUGUGCAAGUUUAACUACUGCGCCACCAGGUGAGCCCCCCAAUUUUUUUAUUAUAGCCAUCCUAGUAGUGUGAAGAUGUAUCUCAAUAUGGUUUUACUAUGCAUUUCCCAAAUGAUUAAUCAUGUUGAGCAUGUGCUUAUUGGCCAUUUGUAUAUCUUCUUUGGAGAAAUGUCCAUUCAAAUCCUUUGCCCUUUUUAAUUGGUUUGUCUUUUUAUUGUUGAAUUAUAAAAACUCUUUAUAUAUUCUGGAUACUAGGCCCUUAUCAGAUAUGUGAUUUACAAACACUUCUCUCAUUCUGUGAGUUGUCGUUUCAUUUUUUUGAUAGUGUCCUUUGACACAUAAAGGUUCUUAAUUUUGAUGAAGUCCAAUUUAUCUAUAUUUCCUUUGGUUCCUUGUGUUUUUGGUGUCAAAACUAAGAAACAAUUGCCUAAUCAAAGGUCACAAAGAUUUACACCCAUAUUUCCUUCAAAGAGUUUUCUCCCAUUCUGUGAGUUGUCUUUUCACUCUCUUGAUAGUGUCCUUUGAUGCACGAAAGUUUUUAAUUUUGAUGAAGUUCAAUGUAUCUAUUUUUUAUUUUAUUGACUGUGCUUUUGGUGUUAUAUCCAAGAAAUCAUUGCCAAAUUCAAUUUCAUGAAGAUUUUCCCCCAUGUUUUCUUCUAAGAGUUUUAUAAUUUUAGGGUUUUGAUCCAUUUUGAGCUAAUUUUUGUAUACGAUAAAGAUCCAACUUUGUUCUUUAGCAUAUGGAUAUCCAGCUUUCCCAGCACCAUUUGUUGAAAAGAUUACCUUUUCCCCAUAGAAAGGCAUCCAUCAUGGAUCUUGGCACUUCUGUUGAAAAUCGAUUGACCAUAGAUGUGAGGGUUUAUUUCUCAGCUCUCUAUUCUAUUACAGUGGUCCGUAUGCCUGUCGUUAUGCCAGUACCACACCAUUUUGAUUACUGCCGGAGGCAGAAUCAACAUUUGAUCGGCUGUUUGACAGGGUCCAGCCAAUGAGAAGAGCUGAGGGGUGCAGGGCGCGCCUCCGCAAGAAAAUGAAAAGCCAGCCUUCCCCCAAGCUAUGCUGAACUUUAAAAACUUGUUUUUCUUCUCUUUGUCUUAUACCCCACUUUCCUACUCAUGCUGUAAUUUUCCAGAUGGCCGCUUUAGAGAAAAGGGCAUGCUCCCCCCACGAGGUUGGUACUGAGAAAAUUAUGUGACCACCUGCGCAUAGUCUUCAGGAUAUCGCAAGGGGCAAGUUCCCCCUGAGGCACAUAGAUAGUGGGAGAACAUUCCUCCCUAAUGAGGGGUUCAUACUGAAGAGAGUAUUUGGAUCAAAGCAGUUGCCUCCUUCUAGUUAAUGUUUUGCUAUUCCUCCACUUUCCCUGAUAAGAAUAGAUAUACCACUUCCUCUGUAGUUAAUUAGAAAAUUCCUCCAUAUGUUAGUUAUUGAAAAUAUAUUGUUCCUUUCAAUGUGUUUCGCAAGACUUUAUAGAAGUCUUUUUCUUAGAAACUGCUGAUAAUAGAUAUUACUGAAGUCGCUUUUGUGCAGGAAAAGAUAGUUAACCUCGGCCCCCCCUAAAAGUUAACUCUGUUCCCUGUAAGAUUAUACAUAUCAAUGAUUGCCUUUUGGUUUACUCUGCAAGAACAUCUGUACUGCUAUAUUUAUCCCCUGCUAAAAAAGAUAUAAAAACGCUGUGAAAACCCAGUAAAGCUAGACUUGCUUGCACCGAC
rnacentral:lncRNA from 1 species